UACAGAGGGUGCAAGCGUUGUUCGGAAUCAUUGGGCGUAAAGCGCACGUAGGCGGCUUUGCAAGUCAGGUGUGAAAGCCUGGGGCUCAACCCCAGAAGUGCAUUUGAAACUGCAGAGCUUGAGUCUUGGAGAGGGCAGUGGAAUUCCGAGUGUAGAGGUGAAAUUCGUAGAUAUUCGGAGGAACACCAGUGGCGAAGGCGACUGCCUGGACAAAGACUGACGCUGAGGUGCGAAAGCGUGGGGAGCAAACAGGG
rnacentral:rRNA from 1 species